rnacentral:rRNA from 1 species
GACGAACGCUGGCGGCGUGCUUAACACAUGCAAGUCGAACGGAAAGGCCCUGCUUUUUUGUGGUUCUCGAGUGGCGAGCGGGUGUGUAACACGUGAGUAACCUUCGCUUGGCUUUGGGAUAACUUCAGGCAACUGCUACUAAUACCUGCUAGGUGCUCCUGCUGCAUGGUGGGGUUUGGAAAGUUUCGGCUGUUGGGGCUGGACUGGCGGGUUAUCAGCUUGUUGGUGGGGUAGUGGCUUAGCAAGGCUUUGGAGGCUGGGCCGCAUGGGAGGGUGGACGGCCACCUUGGGCCUGAGAUAGGGCGCAGACGGGUACGGGAGGCAGCAGGCGGGAGUCUUGCACAAUGAGCGGAAGCGUGAUGCAGAAACGCUGCGAGCGGGAAGACGGCCUUCGGGUUGUAAACCGCUUUAGGCUGAGACGAAGCGGGAGUGACGGUAAUGGGUAAAGAAGCACCGGCUAACUACGUG